AUUGAACGCUGGCGGCAGGCUUAACACAUGCAAGUCGAGCGGGGGAGGUUACUUCGGUAAUUGACCUAGCGGCGGACGGGUGAGUAAUACUUAGGAAUCUGCCUAUUAAUGGGGGACAACAUCUCGAAAGGGAUGCUAAUACCGCAUACGCCCUACGGGGGAAAGCAGGGGAUCACUUGUGACCUUGCGUUAAUAGAUGAGCCUAAGUCGGAUUAGCUAGUUGGUGGGGUAAAGGCCUACCAAGGCGACGAUCUGUAGCGGGUCUGAGAGGAUGAUCCGCCACACUGGGACGAAGACACGGCCCAGACUCCUACGGGAGGCAGCAGUGGGGAAUAUUGGACAAUGGGGGGAACCCUGAUCCAGCCAUGCCGCGUGUGUGAAGAAGGCCUUAUGGUUGUAAAGCACUUUAAGCGAGGAGGAGGCUCUUUUGGUUAAUACCCAAGAUGAGUGGACGUUACUCGCAGAAUAAGCACCGGCUAACUCUGUGCCAGCCGCCGCAGUAA
rnacentral:rRNA from 1 species